CCCACUAGGGGAUGAGCCCGAACUAGGGAUGUGACACAGCGCGAGACCCAGCCUAGAGAGAGCCCGGAGCCAGUGUGGGAGGCGGCUGCCGUCGCGCGGCUUGCCAUCAGCCCACAAAGACAUGACUACCAACGCGGGCCCCUUGCACCCAUACUGGCCUCAGCACCUAAGACUGGACAACUUUGUACCUAAUGACCGCCCCACCUGGCAUAUACUGGCUGGCCUCUUCUCUGUCACAGGGGUCUUAGUCGUGACCACAUGGCUGUUGUCAGGUCGUGCUGCGGUUGUCCCAUUGGGGACUUGGCGGCGACUGUCCCUGUGCUGGUUUGCAGUGUGUGGGUUCAUUCACCUGGUGAUCGAGGGCUGGUUCAUUCUCUACUACGAAGACCUGCUUGGAGACCAAGCCUUCUUAUCUCAACUCUGGAAAGAGUAUGCCAAAGGAGACAGCCGAUACAUCCUGGGUGACAACUUCACAGUGUGCAUGGAAACCAUCACAGCUUGCCUGUGGGGACCACUCAGCCUGUGGGUGGUCAUCGCCUUUCUCCGCCAGCAUCCCCUCCGCUUCAUUCUACAGCUUGUGGUCUCUGUGGGCCAGAUCUAUGGGGAUGUGCUCUACUUCCUGACAGAGCACCGCGACGGAUUCCAGCACGGGGAGCUGGGCCACCCUCUCUACUUCUGGUUUUACUUUGUCUUCAUGAAUGCCCUGUGGCUGGUGCUGCCUGGAGUCCUUGUGCUUGAUGCUGUGAAGCACCUCACUCAUGCCCAGAGCACGCUGGAUGCCAAGGCCAGAAAAGCC
rnacentral:sRNA from 1 species